UACGUUUUGCUGGCCUGAAACAAUUCUGGGUCAAUGCAGUAGUUUUAGUUUAGGGCUAAAGGGCAGUUUUACAUUGUCCACGAUCCCUAGUUUUACAAUACUUUAACUGAGCAAUGUUUGUGUUUUCUCAUUUCUUUCAUGAGCAUAAGUAAAUCCAGCUGAGGAAAAAAGAAGGUCUUUCACAACUCUAAUGCAUUUGAAAUCCUCAGUGUGAUGCCUGCUGGAAGCCAUGUUUUUCAGACCAGUGUUCUCGCAGUAUGCCUGAGAGGUGUCAUGUACACAGCCCACCAUUGUAGCAGGUCAGACUUCUGUACCGAUUUGGACUGGCUACAGAGCUUCCUUCCCAGAAAGUUAUUUUUAAUAUGCUGCAGUUAUACAGCCUUUCCAGAAGCUAUGUGAAUGGAUUUUUGCUUUACUGUAUUUCAUGAUGGAUUCACUCAUGUCCUUCAAUACUUGCAAGCCUUCUACAG